rnacentral:rRNA from 1 species
UACGGGGGGGGCAAGCGUUGUUCGGAAUUACUGGGCGUAAAGGGCUCGUAGGCGGCCAACUACGUCGUAUGUGAAAUCCCCAGGCUUAACCUGGGAACUGCAUCCGAUACUGGAUGGCUUGAAUCCGGGAGAGGGAUGCAGAAUUCCAGGUGUAGCGGUGAAAUGCGUAGAUAUCUGGAGGAACACCGAUGGCGAAGGCAGCUCGCUGGGACGGUACUGACGCUGAGGCGCGAAAGCGUGGGGAGCAAACAGG